UACGUAGGGUGCAAGCGUUGUCCGGAAUUAUUGGGCGUAAAGAGCUCGUAGGCGGUUUGUCGCGUCUGCUGUGAAAAUCCAGGGCUUAACCCUGGACCUGCAGUGGGUACGGGCAGACUAGAGUGCGGUAGGGGAGAUCGGAAUUCCUGGUGUAGCGGUGAAAUGCGCAGAUAUCAGGAGGAACACCGGUGGCGAAGGCGCUCUGCUAGGCCGUAACUGACACUGAGGGACGAAAGCUAGGGGAGCGAAUGGG
rnacentral:rRNA from 1 species